UACGUAGGGACCGAGCGUUGUCCGGAAUCAUUGGGCGUAAAGAGCGUGUAGGCGGCCACUUAAGUCCUGCGUGAAAUCUUGCGGCUCAACCGCAAGCGGUCGUGGGAAACUGGGUGGCUAGAGUGCGGGAGAGGAGAGUGGAAUUCCUGGUGUAGCGGUGGAAUGCGCAGAUAUCAGGAAGAACACCCGUGGCGAAGGCGGCCCACUGGGCCGGUACUGACGCUGAGGCGCGAAGGCGUGGGGAGCGAACGGG
rnacentral:rRNA from 1 species